CAAUUAUUAUCAUUCAAUUUCAUGCCGAUCGCGUCGCGUAAUACGGGGUGAAGGUUGAAAAGAAAAAAAAAAAAUUACGCUUUCGUUGAGAGUUGAAUUGCCUGGAUAUUUUUUUAAGUUUAAGAUGAGAACGAUCGAUCGUAGCGACUAAGAUUUUCGAAGAAAGUUAAUCAAGCGGAAUUCCGAGAUAAAAAUUCCGGAGAAACGCACAUCCGCGGCGAUCAUGCGGAGUAAAGUUAAUGAACAAUGUGGGCACAUAAGACUGCAGUAGCGUCGACGGGGGGCAGAGGAAAAGGGGGUUCCGGGGGCGUUCCGUGGAGGGUCGCAACUCGUAUAUCAAAUCAUGGGGACGCUUCUGAAAGCCAGUCCACCAUCGAACGCGAUCAGCGUACAUAUCCCCUGAAGAAUCUUGAAGAGGAUUUAUAACAUUACGAUCCGUGCAAGAGAACGACACGAAAUCAGAAUCGUCGAAUCGAUGAAAUUGUGUAAAAAAACAAAAAAUCCUACGAUUUCGAAUUGUCAGAUAAAUUUCGCGCCUGACUAUAAUAGUCCGCUUUAAAGAUCUACAGUGAAAAGAAAAGUCUCUUCUCCCUCAGUUGAUAAAGAAGAUAGAGUACUUUUUAAUUCGACGAAAGAUAAUAAUAAUAAUAAUUCAAAUAGCCGAAAUUUGUCGCGGUAAUGAAGCUGAAUCUCGGGGGAUUUCUUAUCACAUGUCUUUUAUUGCUGGUAGUUUUUAUGACCAGCAACAUCACGACUGAAGCUCUACCCAUCGGAAAUCCGGAGGCAGCAAUUGAGAACAUGAGACAAAUACCACAAUGGCAUUGCUUGCGUUAUCGAAAAUUCGACCUGGUUCGCAGAUGCCGUCAUUAUCGCGUUGGAAGGAAACAUUGAUAACAUUCAAACUAAAUGAGAUGCCUCGGAACGUCGCCGAUCUGGACCCAUCAAAUAUCUACUCUCCAUAUCGACUUUCAUUGGCAGUUAUUGAUAAUUGAUACCCAAGAACAGCAUUUAUGCAUAUCUUACAUUAUUGUUAAUGUUAUUAUUUUUAAUACUGAUAUUAUUGUAUAUUCCUAUUCAUAACUCACUAUUUCGUUUCCCAAAUUUUUUUAUUUUUUAUUUCAUCAUCAAUUGAAAAUUCACAUUUCACAACUUAGUCAAAGACUGUUUUUAACGCGAACAUGACCGAUAUACAUACACAUAUUCUUUUUUCACCCAGUGAUUAUACGAAUUUCGAUAUGGUUAUUGUUUUAUACAUCGAAUUUUGCGUAAAGAAUCCAAGUACCUUUUUUCUUUCGUUAGAAGAGACAAAAUGUAUGAAAAAAAAUAAUAUUUACUCAAAAAAAUAGUUGAUAAUUUAUUCUUCAAGUCUGAAGAUUUAAGCAUAAUGUGUUAAUGUUUUUUACCCCGUAAUACAAGUUACAAAAAUAUUUAGUGAGUUACAUACCAAAGACAAUAUAAGUUUCAUAGGUAGAAGAAAAAAUAAAAGAAAAAAAAGUCGUAUGAAAAACAGAUAAGCCAAGCAAACCUUGUAAUGUAUGGACUAAAUGUAUGUGUUUUGAUCUCAUUCAUGUUGAUUUGUAGAAGAAUCAAAAAGUGAACGAUCUUGAAAUCAAAUAUAUUAUUUAAAAAUC
rnacentral:lncRNA from 1 species